rnacentral:rRNA from 1 species
GUAACUGCGAGUGAAGCGGGAAAAGCUCAGACUGAAAAUCUUCGGAAUUGUAGUCUGGAGAAGUAUGGUCAGCCGAUGAUGAUGAGUGAAGUCUUCUGGAAAGGAGCGCCUUGGAGGGUGAUAGCCCCGUUCAUACUUAUCAUUAGAAGCGUACGACCUGCUUUCUACGAGUCGUGUUGUUUGGGACUGCAGCACUAAGUGGGUGGUAAAUUCCAUCUAAAGCUAAAUAUUGGUGGGAGACCGAUAGCGAACAAGUACCGUGAGGGAAAGAUGCAAAGAACUUUGAAAAGAGAGUUAAAUAGUACCUGAAAUUGCUGAAAUGGAACCGAUGGGAAGCAGUGUCGGUGGCGGGUAUUUAUACCUGUCACAAGCCAGGCUUCUUUUCUGGUGCGGGAAAGGCUGAUAAACUAGCUUAGGUUAUCUACGCCGUCGUGCUAGCGAAG